GAUGAAGAACGCAGCGAAAUGCGAUACGUAAUGUGAAUUGCAGAAUUCAGUGAAUCAUCGAGUCUUUGAACGCACAUUGCGCCCCCUGGUAUUCCGGGGGGCAUGCCUGUCCGAGCGUCAUUGCUGCCCUCAAGCACGGCUUGUGUGUUGGGCCUCCGUCCUCCUCCCGGGGGACGGGCCCGAAAGGCAGCGGCGGCACCGCGUCCGGUCCUCGAGCGUAUGGGGCUUCGUCACCCGCUCUUGUAGGCCCGGCCGGCGCUUGCCGACACAUCAAUCUUUUUUCCAGGUUGACCUCGGAUCAGUAGGGAUACCCGCUGAACUUAAGCAUAUCAAUAAGCGGAGGA
rnacentral:misc_RNA from 1 species